GAUGAACGCUAGCUACAGGCUUUAAACACAUGCAAGUCGAGGGGCAGCACAGUGUAGCAAUACACGGGUGGCGACCGGCGCACGGGUGCGUAACGCGUAUCCAACCUUCCCGUUACUCAGGGAUAGCCUUCCGAAAGGGAGAUUAAUACCUGAUGGUGUUGAAAUUCCGCAUGUUAUUUCAACUAAAGAUUUAUCGGUAACGGAUGGGGAUGCGUUCCAUUAGGCAGUUGGCGGGGUAACGGCCCACCAAGCCUUCGAUGGAUAGGGGUUCUGAGAGGAAGGUCCCCCACACUGGAACUGAGACACGGUCCAGACUCCUACGGGAGGCAGCAGUGAGGAAUAUUGGUCAAUGGCCGCAAGGCUGAACCAGCCAAGUAGCGUGAGGGAUGACAGCCCUACGGGUUGUAAACCUCUUUUGUCCGGGAAUAAAACGGGGGACGCGUCCCCCCUUGCAUGUACCGGUUGAAUAAGGGCCGGCUAAUUCCGUG
rnacentral:rRNA from 1 species